UACGGAGGGGGCGAGCGUUAUUCGGAAUUAUUGGGCGUAAAGGGCGCGUAGGCGGCUUGAUGUGUCAAAGGUGAAAUCCCUCGACUCAACUGAGGAACUGCCUUUGAAACUGUCUGGCUUGAGGCCGGGAGAGGUAAGUGGAAUUCCGAGUGUAGAGGUGAAAUUCGUAGAUAUUCGGAAGAACACCAGUGGCGAAGGCGACUUACUGGACACAUAUUGACGCUGAGGUGCGAAAGCGUGGGGAGCAAACAGG
rnacentral:rRNA from 1 species